UAGUCCACGCCCUAAACGAUGUCAACUAGUUGUUGGGGAAGGAGACUUCUUUAGUAACGUAGCUAACGCGUGAAGUUGACCGCCUGGGGAGUACGGCCGCAAGGUUAAAACUCAAAGGAAUUGACGGGGACCCGCACAAGCGGUGGAUGAUGUGGAUUAAUUCGAUGCAACGCGAAAACCUUACCUACCCUUGACAUGCCAGGAACUUUCCAGAGAUGGAUUGGUGCCCGAAAGGGAGCCUGGACACAGGUGCUGCAUGGCUGUCGUCAGCUCGUGUCGUGAGAUGUUGGGUUAAGUCCCGCAACGAGCGCAACCCUUGUCAUUAGUUGCUACAUUUAGUUGAGCACUCUAAUGAGACUGCCGGUGACAAACCGGGNGGAAGGUGGGGAUGACGUCAAGUCCUCAUGGCCCUUAUGGGGUAGGGGCUUCACACGUCAUACAAUGGCGCGUACAGAGGGGUUGCC
rnacentral:rRNA from 1 species